UACGUAGGGACCGAGCGUUGUCCGGAAUCAUUGGGCGUAAAGAGCAUGUAGGCGGCUUGUUAAGUCUUGCGUGAAAUCUCGGGGCUCAACCCCGAGCGGUCGUGAGAAACUGGCAGGCUAGAGUGCGGGAGAGGAGAGUGGAAUUCCUGGUGUAGCGGUGAAAUGCGCAGAUAUCAGGAAGAACACCCGUGGCGAAGGCGGCUCUCUGGAACGCAACUGACGCUGAGACGCGAAAGCGUGGGGAGCAAACAGG
rnacentral:rRNA from 1 species